CCAAUAGCGUAUAUUAAAGUUGUUGCAGUUAAAAAGCUCGUAGUUGAACUUCGGGAUUUGCCCAUUGGUCAGGCUUAACUGUCUGUACUGGUGUGACGAGUUCCUACCUUCUGAGGAAUCUCCAUGUCAUUCAGUUGGUGUGGGGGGAAAUCAGGACUGUUACUUUGAAAAAAUUAGAGUGUUUAAAGCAGGCGUCCGGCUGAAUACAUUAGCAUGGAAUAAUAAAAUAGGACGGUUUGGUUCUAUUUUGUUGGUUUCUAGGAUCACCGUAAUGAUUAAUAGGGAUAGUUGGGGGCAUUAGUAUUCAAUUGUCAGAGGUGAAAUUCUUGGAUUUAUUGAAGACUAACUACUGCGAAAGCAUUUGCCAAGGAUGUUUUCAUUAAUCAAGAACGAAAGUUAGGGGAUCGAAGACGAUCAGAUACCGUCGUAGUCUUAACCAUAAACUAUGCCGACUAGGGAUCGGACGAAGUUAAUUUUUUAAUGACUCGUUCGGCACCUUACG
rnacentral:rRNA from 1 species